UACGAAGGGGGCUAGCGUUGCUCGGAAUUACUGGGCGUAAAGGGCGCGUAGGCGGCACUGUUAGUCAGGCGUGAAAGUCCUGGGCUCAACCUGGGAACUGCGCUUGAUACGGCAGAGCUAGAGGAUGGAAGAGGCUCGCGGAAUUCCCAGUGUAGAGGUGAAAUUCGUAGAUAUUGGGAAGAACACCGGUGGCGAAGGCGGCGAGCUGGUCCAUUACUGACGCUGAGGCGCGAAAGCCAGGGGAGCGAACGGA
rnacentral:rRNA from 1 species